rnacentral:rRNA from 1 species
AACGAACGCUGGCGGCAGGCUUAACACAUGCAAGUCGAGCGCGUAGCAAUACGAGCGGCAGACGGGUGAGUAACGCGUGGGAAUCUACCGAGCCCUAAGGAAUAGCUCCGGGAAACUGGAAUUAAUACCUUAUACGCCCUUCGGGGGAAAGAUUUAUCGGGGUUUGAUGAGCCCGCGUUGGAUUAGCUAGUUGGUGGGGUAAAGGCCUACCAAGGCGACGAUCCAUAGCUGGUCUGAGAGGAUGAUCAGCCACAUUGGGACUGAGACACGACCCAAACCCCUACGGGAGGCAGCAGUGGGGAAUAUUGGACAAUGGGCGCAAGCCUGAUCCAGCCAUGCCGCGUGAGUGAUGAAGGCCCUAGGGUUGUAAAGCUCUUUCACCGGUGAAGAUAAUGACGGUAACCGGAGAAGAAGCCCCGGCUAACUUCGUGCCAGCCGCCGCCGUAAAAC